GUAGGUGGCAAGCGCUGUCCGGAAUUAUUGGGGCGUAAAGCGCGCGCAGGCGGUUCUUUAAGUCUGAUGUGAAAGCCCACGGGCUCAACCGUGGAGGGUCAUUGGAAACUGGAGAACUUGAGUACAGAAGAGGAAAGCGGAAUUCCACGUGUAGCGGUGAAAUGCGUAGAGAUGUGGAGGAACACCAGUGGCGAAGGCGGCUUUCUGGUCUGUAACUGACGCUGAGGCGCGAAAGCGUGGGGAGCAAACAGGAUUAGAUACCCUGGUAGUCCACGCCGUAAACGAUGAGUGCUAAGUGUUAGGGGGUUUCCGCCCCUUAGUGCUGCAGCUAACGCAUUAAGCACUCCGCCUGGGGAGUACGGCCGCAAAGACUG
rnacentral:rRNA from 1 species